GGCGAACGUCGACGCCGUCAGCCAGGCGCAGAUUCCAGCGCCGCUCGCCGACGAACACGAUCGCCUUAACCUGGGACCGCACCUGCGGGUAUUGCGCCAGCAGGCCGAGGAAAUCCUUGGCGCGGGUUUCCGCACCUUUGNACCAGCGGCAGCGAUACGAAACGCCGCGCCACAUAGGGCUCAAGCACCGUGCCGUCGGCCG
rnacentral:misc_RNA from 1 species